rnacentral:tRNA from 1 species
GGUCUUGUGGUCUAAUGGUUAUGACAUCAGACUCUGAAUCUGGUAAUCCCGGUUCGAUCCCGGGCAGGACCU